GGGGAUGUGGCUCAGUAGUAGAGCUCUUGCCUUGAAUGCAUGAGACCCUGGGUUGCAUAUCCAUCACCA
rnacentral:tRNA from 1 species